GUGAGAGUCCCGUCUUGAACCGAUUACUUCGUCCAUGUGAAACUCCUUCGACGAGUCGAGUUGUUUGGGAAUGCAGCUCAAAAUGGGUGGUAAAUUUCAUCUAAAGCUAAAUAUUGGCCAGAGACCGAUAGCGCACAAGUAGAGUGAUCGAAAGAUGAAAAGCACUUUGAAAAGAGAGUUAAACAGUAUGUGAAAUUGUUGAAAGGGAAGCGCUUGUAAUCAGACUUGAGCUUAACAGUUCCCCCUUCGUUCUCGUUGGGUUAUUCUGUUUUGUCCAGGCCAACAUCAGUUCGGGUGGUUGGUUAAAGACUUUAGGAAUGUAUCUACCCCUCGGGGUCGACUUAUAGCCUAGAGUGUCAUGCAGCCUACCUGGACUGAGGAACGCGCUUCGGCUCGGAUGUUGGCGUAAUGGUUAUAAGCGACCCGUCUUGAAACACGGACCAAGGAGUCUAACAUCUAUGCAAGUCUUUGAGUGGAAAACUCGCAGGCGUAAUGAAAGUGAACGGAGGUAAGAAGCCUUUAGGCUGCAUUAUCGACCGAUCUUGAUGUCUUCGGAUGGAUUUGAGUAAGAGCAUAGCUGUUGGGACCCGAAAGAUGGUGAACUAUGCCUGAAUAGGGUGAAGCCAGAGGAAACUCUGGUGGAGGCUCGCAGCGGUUCUGACGUGCAAAUCGAUCGUCAAAUUUGGGUAUAGGGGCGAAAGACUAAUCGAACCAUCUGGUAGCUGGUUCAUGCCGAAGUUUCCCUCAGGAUAGCAGUAACGUUUUCAGUUUUAUGAGGUAAAGCGAAUGAUUAGAGGCCUUGGGAGUGAAACACUCUUAACCUAUUCUCAAACUUUAAAUAUGUAAGAAGUCCUUGUUACUUAAUUGAACGUGGACAUUUGAAUGUAUCGUUACUAGUGGGCCAUUUUUGGUAAGCAGAACUGGCGAUGCGGGAUGAACCGAACGUGAGGUUAAGGUGCCGGAAUACACGCUCAUCAGACACCACAAAAGGUGUCAAUGCAUCUAGACAGCCGGACGGUGGCCAUGGAAGUCGGAAUCCGCUUAGGAGUGUGUAACAACUCACCGGCCGAAUGCAUUGGCCCUGAAAAUGGAUGGCGCUUAAGCGUGUUACCUAUACCUCGCCAUUAGAGUUGAAAUUAUGCUCUAAUGAGUAGGCAUGCGUGGGGGUUUGUGACGAAGC
rnacentral:rRNA from 1 species